rnacentral:lncRNA from 1 species
GGGAGGGCGGGCUCGCCGGGUAGAAGUGACUUGAAGAAAGAGCGAGAAGUAUAGAAGGGCGCAGGCGCUAGUUCAGUGCUCGUGAGCAAACACCGUCUACAAGAUUCGAGUCAAACAACGUGAGAACUUGAAAUACGUCUCCAUUCUUUUUCCUUAGUACUCUCGUUCAUUCACUUACGACUUAGAAGCAACUUGAGGCAGUAUGGGAGCAUAAAAGACAGCCAGGAUGCCAAAGUCUCCGAGCAGUGAGUAGGAGUCUAAGAAGUUGGAAAGAUUCAUGGACCUCUUCCAGUAUGUGAAAGCCACAACUGUGGAGCAAAUGGGAAAGCAGCAAUGUGAGAACAGAUUAAUACACAGAGCAUCCAGAGAGAAAUACCCAGCAAUCAGUUGGAGCUGAAAGGCCCAAGAAGGAGAGGGAAUAGAAGGAUGACAUGCAUAUUUGGAUGAAAUUCACAUAUAGGAGGAAUCCAAAAAAGUGUCCGUAGAGAUAAAAAGGUUCUAGAGGUUGCCUGCAUUCCUUGACUCCUGAAUCUCUAUCACCUUCAGAGCCAGAUAUUUCCUGCUGAGUCUUUCUGAGGCUGCAUCACCCUGACCCUGACUCUUCCAUCUCCAUCCUUCAUGCUUAAAGGAUCCUGGUGAUUACAUUGGACCCUCCCGUACAAUCUAGGAUACAUUUUUAACCUUAAGGUCUUCAAGGGAUCACCACACUGUCUUCCACAAUGGUUGAACUAAUUUUCACCCCCACCAAUGAUGCUACCAUUGAAUUUAAUUAUGAUGCUGUCUUCAACAUGGAAGUUACAUAAGAAAAUCUGAAGCCAUUGUGUAUUUCAGCUAGGCUUCUUCUUAGGAAAUAGAGGUCAGCCUAGUGCAGUGAAGUCUGAUUGGAGGUGGACAAUGAGGAUCCUGCCAAGGUGCUGUCCUUAGCUUCUGUUCAGCCUAAUGUAAGUUCAUUCCUUUUGAUUACAGUCAUUUCAAUGACUUUUUUUGCCCAUAAAAUUAUGACCACAUAAUUCUUAUAGACUCUUCUAGCUUUUCAAUGUUGGGGAAGAAAGCUCGCCUAAUAAGCAACUUUUCAACCUCAGAAGCUUAAGUAUUAUGAAGCAAUAAGACCCAAGAUUUGAUGAAAGAAAAGCCAGAAUUUAGUAUGGCUGAAGAUAGGUGGGGAUACAGACCA